CGCGGGGUAGAGCAGUCUGGUAGCUCGUCGGGCUCAUAACCCGAAGGUCAUAGGUUCAAAUCCUAUCCCCGCUA
rnacentral:tRNA from 1 species